UACGUAUGGGGCAAGCGUUAUCCGGAUUUACUGGGUGUAAAGGGAGCGUAGGCGGCCUGGCAAGCCUGAUGUGAAAUACCGGGGCCCAACCCCGGGGCUGCAUUGGGAACUGCCAGGCUGGAGUGCCGGAGAGGCAGGCGGAAUUCCUAGUGUAGCGGUGAAAUGCGUAGAUAUAUGGAAGAACACCAGUGGCGAAAGCGGCUCUCUGGUCUGUAACUGACGCUGAGGUUCGAAAGCGUGGGUAGCAAACAGG
rnacentral:rRNA from 1 species